rnacentral:rRNA from 1 species
GGGUUGUGAGGUUAAGCGACUAAGCGUACACGGUGGAUGCCCUGGCAGUCAGAGGCGAUGAAGGGCGUGCUAAUCUGCGAUAAGCGCCGGUAAGGUGAUAUGAACCGUUAUAACCGGCGAUACCCGAAUGGGGAAACCCAGUGUGACUCGUCACACUAUCAUUAACUGAAUCCAUAGGUUAAUGAGGCGAACCGGGGGAACUGAAACAUCUAAGUACCCCGAGGAAAAGAAAUCAACCGAGAUUCCCCCAGUAGCGGCGAGCGAACGGGGAGGAGCCCAGAGCCUGAAUCAGCAUGUGUGUUAGUGGAAGCGUCUGGAAAGGCGCGCGAUACAGGGUGACAGCCCCGUACACAAAAGCGUAUGUGCUGUGAGCUCGAUGAGUAGGGCGGGACACGUGGUAUCCUGUCUGAAUAUGGGGGGACCAUCCUCCAAGGCUAAAUACUCCUGACUGACCGAUAGUGAACCAGUACCGUGAGGGAAAGGCGAAAAGAACCCCGGCGAGGGGAGUGAAAAAGAACCUGAAACCGUGUACGUACAAGCAGUGGGAGCCCCACCACUAAGCCAGUGGUGAACUCCACAUACGCAUCCUUUGCUGAGGAUACGGUUAACGGAGCGAAAGCGACGUUCAACCGCAAAAGAAGCAGAGGGGGCUUAGUGGUGGGGUGACUGCGUACCUUUUGUAUAAUGGGUCAGCGACUUAUAUUCUGUAGCAAGGUUAACCGAAUAGGGGAGCCGGAGGGAAACCGAGUCUUAACCGGGCGUUAAGUUGCAGGGUAUAGACCCGAAACCCGGUGAUCUAGCCAUGGGCAGGUUGAAGGUUGGGUAACACUAACUGGAGGACCGAACCGACUAAUGUUGAAAAAUUAGCGGAUGACCUGUGGCUGGGGGUGAAAGGCCAAUCAAACCGGGAGAUAGCUGGUUCUCCCCGAAAGCUAUUUAGGUAGCGCCUCGUGAAUUCAUCUCCGGGGGUAGAGCACUGUUUCGGCUAGGGGGCCAUCCCGGCUU